AUGGCAUUCACGAUCUCACCCUUCUCCUACAUGCUGGCGCUGCUGCGCCGCCAUCUUCUUCACCAUCUGGCACAUUAUAGCAUUUGAUGAACUGAAGACUGAUUACAGGAAUCCUAUAUACCAGUGUGAUACCCUGAAUCCUCUUGUACUUCCAGAGUAACUCAUCCAUGCUUUCUUCUGUGUCAUGUUUCUUUGUGCAGCAGAGUGGCUUACGCUGGGUCUCAGGAUGCCCCUCUUGGCAUAUCAUAUUUGGAGGUAUAUGAGUAGACCAGUGCUGAGUGGACCAGGACUCUAUGACCCUACGACCAUCAUGAAUGCAGACAUUUUAGCGUAUUGUCAGAAAGAAGGCUGGUGCAAAUUAGCUUUUUAUCUUCUAGCAUUUUUUUACUACCUAUAUGGCAUGAUCUAUGUUUUGGUGAACUCUUAGAACAACACACAGAAGAAUUAGUCCAAAGUGCAUGUAAAAAACCACCAAAUGAAGGGAUUCUAUCCAGCAAGAUCCUAUUUCCAAGAGUAGCCUAUGGAAUCUGAUCAUUUACUUUAAAAAAUGA